UACGUAGGGGGCGAGCGUUGUCCGGAUUUAUUGGGCGUAAAGAGCUCGUAGGCGGUUUCGUAAGUCGGAUGUGAAAACUCCGGGCUCAACUUGGAGACGCCACCCGAUACUGCCAUGGCUAGAGUCCGGUAGGGGACCACGGAAUUCCUGGUGUAGCGGUGAAAUGCGCAGAUAUCAGGAGGAACACCGGUGGCGAAGGCGGUGGUCUGGGCCGGAACUGACGCUGAGGAGCGAAAGCGUGGGGAGCGAACAGG
rnacentral:rRNA from 1 species